rnacentral:pre_miRNA from 1 species
AUAAUGUAUGGAAUUUGUAUGGAGUUGAAAUGUUUGCCUACGUUUGCCGUUAGGGGCACUGUUCCAACUGCAUACUAAUUUUGAGUUA